GCUGGGGAUUUAGCUCAGUGGUAGAGCACUUGCCUAGCAAGCACAAGGCCCUGGGUUCGGUCCCCAGCUCCGAAAAAAAGAAAAAAAAAUGUGUAAUGCAGGAGCCCCUCUGGAAGACAAGUGCUUUUAACUGCUGGGUCACCUUCUCCAACCCUCACAAACCAAAUUCUUGUGAAGCUCAUCAGAGAACACAUCCCCAAAACAGAAGCUGGCCUGUGCCUGGAAUUCCAGCACUUGUGAAGCUGAAGCAGGAGAAUUGCUCCAAGUUCAAAAUAAGCCUGGGCUUCAGAAUCUUUAAAAAAAAAUAAUAAUCAGACUAAGUGUCUAGAGAGAUGGCCCAGUGGUUAGAAUUGAAUACUGUUCUUGCAAAGGAUGUGGGUUUGGUUCCUAGCGCCCAAGUCAGGUGGGUGCACCAUAGCCACCUCCUCGGGCACCUGAACUCUCGUGUACAUAUGCCCACGCAGGGCAUAUACACAUAGUUCAAAAUAAUAAAUCUUUAAAAAGUAAAAAAAAAAAAAAAAAAAA
rnacentral:lncRNA from 1 species